GGAAGGCGAGCUGCAGUGGGCGUGGUCAGUGAGACGUGUGUGUGUGUGUGUGUGUGUGUGUGUGUGUGUGUGUAGGAGGUGUAGGAGGUGUUCAGGAAGGCGAGCUGCAGUGGGCGUGGUCAGUGAGACGAGUGUGUGUGUGUGUGUGUGUGUGUGUGCACCAGGUGUAGGAGGUGUCCAGGAAGGCGAGCUGCAGUGGGCGUGGUCAGUGAGACGGGCGUGCGUGAGCAGAGCGUCACUGAGACGCCGUCCGUCAGCCCGCAGUUCUAUUUGCUGCUGGACCACAGAGCGUGUAACGAUGAAAAGAUGCUCCACGUGGUCGGUUCUCAGAGAAGAGGAGUGUGUCCAUGCUGCUCCAGAGAAACAGAUGAGAGUGUUGUCUCUGAAGACACUGGGACUCAGAAAACACUUGUGGAUUUUGCAGACACACCGGAGUCAUGUAUGAAGCCCAGCGUUAAUCUGAUCUCUCUGGACGACUCACACACAUCAUCUCUGAUCUGAACAUCUGCUGCCUGUGUGUGUGUGUGUGUGUGUGUGUGUGUGUGUGUGUGUGUGUGUGUGUGUGUGUGUGUAAGCAGAGAUCUAAUGUGAGUGAUCAUUAGGGUUUGGGCUGUGCUGAUGUUUGAGGGUGUGAGGGUAUACUGUGAUAAAGACAUCUAAAUGAUCACUAAUGACAAACGCACAUCAGUAUCCAGAGCUCAGACAGAACUACAGACAUACAGUGAAUUCCAUUAAUAUUGGCACCCUUGGUAAAUAUGAGCAAAGUAGGCUGUGAAAAAUUGUCUUUAUUGUUUAACCUUCUGAUCUUUUGUUCAAAAUUCAUGCUCUCAUAGAUAUCAAACAAUCGCAAACACAACACAGGUUUAUGCAAAAAAUAAAAAUUCUUUGUUAAAUAUAGGUGUGCAACAAUUAUUGGCACUUCAGUGAAUUCAUGUGCGAAAAUAUAUUUGAAGUAUUGAUAUUCAUUGAUAUUUAAAAAAUAAUAAUAAUUAAUACACCUGGUGACUAGGAACAGGAAAGUGUUCAACCGUGACUUCCUGUUUCACAGGGGUAUAAAUAUGAG
ensembl:lncRNA